rnacentral:tRNA from 1 species
UGCGGGGUAGAGCAGAGGCAGCUCGUCGGGCUCAUAACCCGGAGGUCGGCCGUUCGAAUCGGCCCCCCGCGA